rnacentral:rRNA from 1 species
UGGGGAAUAUUGGACAAUGGGCGCAAGCCUGAUCCAGCAACGCCGCGUGAAUGAUGAAGGCCUUCGGGUCGUAAAGUUCUUUUGUAAGGGAAGAAAAUGACGGUACCUUAAGAAUAAGCUCCGGCUAACUUCGUGCCAGCAGCCGCGGUAAUACGAAGGGGGCUAGCGUUGUUCGGAAUUACUGGGCGUAAAGGGUGCGUAGGUUGUUAUCCAAGUUAGUGGUGAAAGCCCGGGGCUUAACUCCGGAACUGCCAUUAAAACUGGGUAGCUAGAGAGUGUUAGAGGUGAGUGGAAUUUCUAGUGUAGGAGUGAAAUCCGUAGAUAUUAGAAGGAACAUCAAUGGCGAAGGCAGCUCACUGGGUCACAUCUGACACUGAGGCACGAAAGCGUGGGUAGCAAACA